GUACCAGCGCGCAGAGCACCCGGAUUUGCCAUCCGUGCGUCCAUCUCCUGAUUCUCCUCCGACUCAUUCGUCGCUGGCGACGGCAGUUUCUAGCGCUUCCAAGUUCCAACGCCGCACCGAGAAGGGAUUUCCUCCGUCUCCCCAGCUGCGCCCCUCGCUUCUAUAGCCUGUACGAGAUCAGCAAGAUUGGUGAAUUGAUCUAGAACAUACACAUCUUCCACAUCCUUCUUCAUCUGUUCUACCCUAUCAAGUAAAGCUUUGAAUCCAUGCUGUACAGCAUCUGCAGGAGACAAGCAUGUUACCAUCUGGCACGUGAUAUGAGGGUCAUGGUACCUCAGGUCCUUACCAACUAAUACCACUUCUACGCCAAGCAAUGAACGCCACGCCGAUGCCGAGAUUACCACUCGUGACCCCCAGCAGCGUUGUGAUGCCAGGUGUGAUCAAGCCUUUCUCCUCUGCAUCUUCAAUCAAUCUGCAAAUUUGUUCAUCCAUUCAUAUUGUUGUCGAGACUCAUGACGUUACGUAUGGUACAUUUGAGGUGAAGAAUUUCUUCCUGGGAAGGAAACUAAAAAAGACCAGCCACCUGAGAGCACUCCGGUCCUUCACAGAGGAAAGGGGUUGGUAUGGCUCAAUCUUCCCAAUCAGCCGAGCACCUAUGCCAUCUUUCUCAGCGAUGUUUCUCAGUUCUAUCAGUGGUGUCCAACCAAUGAGCUGGAAGGCAUAGAAUAAACUUGCAAAUUAAAGAUAACAAGCUUUUUACAGUAAAGGAAUAGUGACUAUAUACAAAGAAAGUAGGCACCUGCGUGAUGUUGGUGGCGAUGCACUCCCCCUGUGAGGACAGCAGAGAUGUGCAGCAUGCCAAUGAGAUAUUAAGUUCAGAAAACCACCGAUUGGUUGGAAGCCUAGAACUUGGAACACAAGUUUCCCUGCAUGCCAAGAAACCACCGAUGGGUUGGAAGCCUGGAACUUGGACCCCAAGUUUCCCUGCUUAUAGAACAAGACAAUCAACCAUUAUGCAGAGGGUCACAAAGUGCCAAAUGUAGCCGUUGUUAGACUCGUGGUCUGUGACUUCGCUGCAAGUUGAGACGACUGGGUACGUAUUCAUGAACUGAAGAUGCUGGGGUAAUAACACAGAUUUGGCAAAGCUUCCCUGCUCUCUGAAAAGAUAAUUAGUUAAGGUGUGCGCUAUAAAACAACUCGCAGUUGUUUUGUUCAUGGCCUUGCUAUCAAACCUCCACUGUUUUAGUCAGUCGUCUUUAAGAAACGUCUGUUUCUCACGUUCAUGGUGUAUCGGAUUAUUACAAGGAAACAGAACAUUCAUCAGAGUUUUUCUGUUUUUCAUCUA